rnacentral:rRNA from 1 species
AGAGUUUGAUCCUGGCUCAGGAUGAACGCUAGCUACAGGCUUAACACAUGCAAGUCGAGGGGAAACGGCAUUAAGUGCUUGCACUUUUUGGACGUCGACCGGCGCACGGGUGAGUAACGCGUAUCCAACCUUCCCAUGACUAAGGGAUAACCUGCCGAAAGGCAGACUAAUACCUUAUGGUCUUCACUGACGGCAUCAGAUGUGAAGUAAAGAUUUAUCGGUUAUGGAUGGGGAUGCGUCUGAUUAGCUUGUUGGCGGGGUAACGGCCCACCAAGGCAACGAUCAGUAGGGGUUCUGAGAGGAAGGUCCCCCACAUUGGAACUGAGACACGGUCCAAACUCCUACGGGAGGCAGCAGUGAGGAAUAUUGGUCAAUGGGCGAGAGCCUGAACCAGCCAAGUAGCGUGCAGGAUGACGGCCCUAUGGGUUGUAAACUGCUUUUGUAUGGGGAUAAAGUCAAUCACGUGUGAUUGUUUGCAGGUACCAUACGAAUAAGGACCGGCUAAUUCCGUGCCAGCAGCCGCGGUAAUACGGAAGGUCCGGGCGUUAUCCGGAUUUAUUGGGUUUAAAGGGAGCGUAGGCUGGAGAUUAAGUGUGUUGUGAAAUGUAGACGCUCAACGUCUGACUUGCAGCGCAUACUGGUUUCCUUGAGUACGCACAACGUUGGCGGAAUUCGUCGUGUAGCGGUGAAAUGCUUAGAUAUGACGAAGAACUCCGAUUGCGAAGGCAGCUGACGGGAGCGCAACUGACGCUGAAGCUCGAAGGUGCGGGUAUCGAACAGGAUUAGAUACCCUGGUAGUCCGCACAGUAAACGAUGGAUGCCCGCUGUUGGUACCUGGUAUCAGCGGCUAAGCGAAAGCAUUAAGCAUCCCACCUGGGGAGUACGCCGGCAACGGUGAAACUCAAAGGAAUUGACGGGGGCCCG